AGAUUAAGCCAUGCAUGUCUCAGUAUAAUUUUUUUACGGUGAAACUGCGAAUGGCUCAUUAAAACAGUUAUAGUUUACUUGAUGGCCACUUACUAGUUGGAUAACUGUAGUAAUUCUAGAGCUAAUACAUGCUUUCAGACCCGACUUCGAGGGAGGGUUGUGCUUAUUAGAUACUGAACCAACCCGCUUCGGCGGUUGUUAGUUGAUUCAUAGUAUUCCAGCGAAUCGCUUCACGCGAUGAAUCAUUCAAGUUUCUGACCUAUCAGCUUUCGAUGGUAAGGUAUUGGCUUACCAUGGCUUUGACGGGUAACGGAGAAUAAGGGUUCGAUUCCGGAGAGGGAGCCUGAGAAAUGGCUACCACAUCUAAGGAAGGCAGCAGGCGCGUAAAUUACCCAAUCCUGACACAGGGAGGUAGUGACAAGAAAUACCAAUACAAAACUUAUAUGUUGUGUAAUUGGAAUGAGAACAAUCUAAACCCAUUACCGAGUAUCCAUUGGAGGGCAAGUCUGGU
rnacentral:rRNA from 1 species